rnacentral:rRNA from 1 species
UACGUAGGGUGCAAGCGUUGUCCGGAAUUAUUGGGCGUAAAGAGCUCGUAGGCGGUUUGUCGCGUCUGCUGUGAAAACUCGGGGCUUAACUCCGGGCCUGCAGUGGGUACGGGCAGACUAGAGUGCGGUAGGGGAGACUGGAAUUCCUGGUGUAGCGGUGAAAUGCGCAGAUAUCAGGAGGAACACCGGUGGCGAAGGCGGGUCUCUGGGCAGUAACUGACGCUGAGGAGCGAAAGCGUGGGGAGCGAUCAGG